CCUAGGUGAUGCACUUGGGUGGGCAC
rnacentral:piRNA from 1 species